rnacentral:rRNA from 1 species
CCUACGGGUGGCAGCAGUAGGGAAUCUUCCACAAUGGGCGAAAGCCUGAUGGAGCAACGCCGCGUGGGUGAAGAAGGUCUUCUGAACGUAAAACCCUGUUGUUAGAGAAGAAAGUGCGUGAGAGUAACUGUUCACGUUUCGACGGUAUCUAACCAGAAAGCCACGGCUAACUACGUGCCAGCAGCAGCGGUAAUACGUAGGUGGCAAGCGUUAUCCGGAUUUACUGGGCGUAAAUGGAACGCAGGCGGUCUUUUAAGUCUGAUGUGAAAGGUUUGGGCUUAACCGGAGUAGUGCAUUGGAAACUGGGAGGCUUGAGGGCAGAAGAGGGGAGUGGAACUCCAUGUGUAGCGGUGAAAUGCGUAGAUAUAUGGAAGAACACCAGUGGCGAAAGCGGCUCUCUGGUCUGUAACUGACGCUGAGGUUCGAAAGCGUGGGUAGCAAACAGGAUUAGAUACCCUGGUAGUC